rnacentral:rRNA from 1 species
CCUACGGGAGGCAGCAGUGGGGGAUAUUGCACAAUGGGCGCAAGCCUGAUGCAGCGACGCCGCGUGGAGGAAGAAGGUUUUCGGAUUGUAAACUGCUGUCUUCAGGGACGAUAAUGACGGUACCUGAGGAGGAAGCCACGGAUAAAUACGGGCCAGCAGCCGCGGUAAUACGUAGGUGGCAAGCGUUGUCCGGACGUACUGGGUGAAAAGGGAGCGUAGGCGGGACAGCAAGUCCAGUGUGAAAUCUAUCGCCUCACCCGAUAACUGCGCUGGAUACUGUUGUGCUUGAGUGAAGUAGAGGCAGGCAGAAUUCCUAGUGUAGCGGUGAAAUGCGUAGAUAUUAGGAGGAACACCAGUGGCGAAGGCGGCCUGCUGGACUUUUACUGACGCUGAGGCUCGAAAGUGUGGGUAGCAAACAGGAUUAGAUACCCCAGUAGUC